rnacentral:tRNA from 1 species
GGGGCCAUAGCUCAGCUGGGAGAGCGCGACACUGGCAGUGUCGAGGUCGGGGGUUCGAAUCCCCCUGGCUCCACCA